rnacentral:piRNA from 1 species
UUAAGCCAAACUACAAAUAUUCUAUAGUGUC